GACGAACGCUGGCGGCGUGCCUAAUACAUGCAAGUCGAACGCGUCUACGUUAAUGAAAUCAAUGUGCUUGCACGGCGAUGGAUUUAACAUUAGACGAGUGGCGAACUGGUGAGUAACACGUGGGUAACCUGCCCUCAAGCAGGGGAUAACACUUGGAAACAGGUGCUAAUACCGUAUAACAAUCGAAACCGCAUGGUUUCGGUUUGAAAGGCGCUUUUGCGUCACUGAUGGAUGGACCCGCGGUGCAUUAGCUAGUUGGUGAGGUAACGGCUCACCAAGGCAACGAUGCAUAGCCGACCUGAGAGGGUGAUCGGCCACAUUGGGACUGAGACACGGCCCAAACUCCUACGGGAGGCAGCAGUAGGGAAUCUUCGGCAAUGGACGAAAGUCUGACCGAGCAACGCCGCGUGAGUGAAGAAGGUUUUCGGAUCGUAAAACUCUGUUGUUAGAGAAGAACAAGGAUGAGAGUAAAAUGUUCAUCCCUUGACGGUAUCUAACCAGAAAGCCACGGCUAACUACGUGCCAGCCGCCGCCGUAACAC
rnacentral:rRNA from 1 species